AUUGAACGCUGGCGGCAGGCCUAACACAUGCAAGUCGAACGAGUGGCGGACGGGUGAGUAAUGUCUGGGAAACUGCCCGAUGGAGGGGGAUAACUACUGGAAAAGGUCGCUAAUACCGCAUACCAUCGGAUGAGCCCAUAUGGGAUUAGCUAGUAGGUGGGGUAACGGCUCACCUAGGCGACGAUCCCGAGCUGGUCUGAGAGGAUGACCAGCACCACUGGAACUGAGACACGGUCCAUACUCCUACGGGAGGCAUCAGUGGGGAAUAUUGCACAAUGGGCGCAAGCCUGAUGCAGCCAUGCCGCGUGGAUGAAGAAGGCCUUCGGGUUGUAAAGUACUUUCAGCGAGGAGGCGUUACUCGCAGAAGAAGCACCGGCUAACUCCGUGCCAGCAGCCGCGGUAAUUC
rnacentral:rRNA from 1 species